UACAGAGGGGGCAAGCGUUGUUCGGAAUUACUGGGCGUAAAGGGCGCGUAGGCGGCCUGCUAAGUCGAACGUGAAAUCCCUGGGCUCAACCCAGGAACUGCGUCCGAUACUGGUUGGCUUGAAUCCGGGAGAGGGUAGUGGAAUUCCCGGUGUAGUGGUGAAAUGCGUAGAUAUCGGGAGGAACACCAGUGGCGAAGGCGACUACCUGGCCUGUUCUUGACGCUGAGGCGGCGAAAGCUAGGGAGCAAACAGGU
rnacentral:rRNA from 1 species